rnacentral:rRNA from 1 species
CAGCCGCCACGGUAAUACGAAGGGGGCUAGCGUUGCUCGGAAUGACUGGGCGUAAAGGGCGCGUAGGCGGCGGCCAAAGUCAGGCGUGAAAUUCCCGGGCUCAACCUGGGGGCUGCGUUUGAUACUUGGUUGCUUGAGUGGGGAAGAGGGUUGUGGAAUUCCCAGUGUAGAGGUGAAAUUCGUAGAUAUUGGGAAGAACACCGGUGGCGAAGGCGGCAACCUGGUCCAUGACUGACGCUGAGGCGCGAAAGCGUGGGGAGCAAACAGGAUUAGAUACCCGCGUAGUCCCUGUCUCUUAUAC